GGGGCAGACAUGGCUUUGACAGCAUGUAGAGUUGGUAUGUAAGCAUGUCGGGAGUAGUGAAGCCGUCCCGUAAAUCUCGGACACAAAAUUUUAGUUGGCGAAGAAAAUUACGCUCUUGCUGCCUAAUCGAAGUAUAGUAGAUGUGGCUUAAUCGCUGCUCAAGGAGUGGCGACGAGACAUCCCGUCGGUGGUUAUGCCUUAUUCCUAAUCGGCAAUCGGGGUGCAGUCAAUAUAAGGUUAGUCUCACACAGCUUCGGGUGUGGGAUGAAAAUUUAGAAGCUAAGGUGCGAUUUGGAUGCUUUUUUCCUGAACGUACACGAAAAUCAACAAAAAGCUAAGCAUGUAGAAAGCAUAUUGGUUCCAUGUUUGGACCAGGGUUCAAUCCCCUGCUGCUCCACAA
rnacentral:tmRNA from 1 species